CCCGCUCAGAAACUUAAAGGAAUUGACGGGGCCCGCACAAGCGGUGGAGCAUGUGGUUUAAUUCGAUGAUACGCGAGGAACCUUACCUGGGCUCGAACGUAAGAUGACUGUAGGUGAAAGCUUACAUCUCUUCGGAGCAUUUUACGAGGUGCUGCAUGGUUGUCGUCAGCUCGUGCCGUGAGGUGUCGGGUUAAGUCCCAUAACGAGCGCAACCCCUACCUUUAGUUGCCAUCAGGUUAAGCUGGGGACUCUAAAGGAACUGCCUACGCAAGUAGUGAGGAAGGCGGGGAUGACGUCAAAUCAGCACGGCCCUUACGUCCAGGGCUACACACGUGCUACAAUGGCCGAUACAGAGGGCAGCUACCUGGUGACAGGAUGCAAAUCUCCAAAGUCGGUCUCAGUUCGGAUCGGAGUCUGCAACCCGACUCCGUGAAGUUGGAUUCGCUAGUAAUCGCGCAUCAGCCAUGGCGCGGUGAAUACGUUCCCGGGCCUU
rnacentral:rRNA from 1 species